rnacentral:tRNA from 1 species
UAAGAUGGAUCUUGAAAAAGAAUUUUAGUUACAUUAAAAUGAUCUAUGUUUGAAUCAUAGUAUCUUAA